rnacentral:rRNA from 1 species
UACGUAGGUGGCAAGCGUUAUCCGGAUUUACUGGGUGUAAAGGGCGUGUAGGCAGGACUGCAAGUCAGAUGUGAAACCCAUGGGCUCAACCCAUGGCCUGCAUUUGAAACUGUAGUUCUUGAGUGAUGGAGAGGCAGGCGGAAUUCCGUGUGUAGCGGUGAAAUGCGUAGAUAUACGGAGGAACACCAGUGGCGAAGGCGGCCUGCUGGACAUUAACUGACGCUGAGGCGCGAAAGCGUGGGGAGCAAACAGG